CUGGUAACUGAAGCUUUGAAGUACUGUUGCCACCAAAUGAGGCAGGACUAAAAGGCUGCAUAACAUCGUUUUCCUAGUUCUCUCCAGUUCCUGGACUUCACAGCAAUUUUUCUACCACUGGAAAAUCAGGGAUACACUCGCCCCUUAUGAGUUCAAGAGUGACAUGGAGAGACACGUGCAGGAACCAUUCCCAUCUCACCAGUUUCCCAUGAGCUGGACACUCUAUAAGCCCUCACUACACUCUAAUAGCAUGAACCUUCAAAAGGACAGACAAGCAGCCUGGAAAUCCCAGAACCUCAGGGGUCCUGGCCGAGCUCCUUCAGAGGACACACUAGAAGCACCAGGCUCAGAGAGGGAGGAAACCCACCCAGGAUAAGACAGUAUGGCACUGACAGAGUGGGGAUAGGGCAAAAAGAAGGAGCACAUAUUAAUUUGUUUUUACUCUGUGCCUGUGGUGUUCCUGCUGCUCGACUUGCUGCUCCUCAGUCAAUCCUCAAGAAAAACUUCAGGUGAUCUUGGUGAUGAGGCUGAUCCACCCCCAGUGCAGUGACCCCCCACUUGAGGCUCCUUUCCCAAGGUCAUGGCACUUAGCCCCCAGGCCGGGGUUCAGAGGAGACAGAGAAAGCAAGGAGACACAUUCAGUGACCCUUGGUGUUGAGCAUUCCCACCAGCCGCUUGGAGAUGCAGAGCUGACGCUGCAGCAGAGCCCAUAGAGCCACUGUCCAACUGGGCCUGCAUACUUCUCAAAGCAGGGUUCCCUGGGCUCCCAGGGUGGCUGAAGCACUUACUACAUACUAGGUGUGGUCUCAUCACCUCCCUUCCUCUCUGCGAUGGAGCUGGAGGCUUGGGCUUUGGGCUUCAGCAUGAGCCCUCCCUGCUGUGAUCUCGCAGAGAUGGUGGCAGAUCCUGGGAUGCCUCCUGGUCUUGGAACUGUGCCUUGCCUAGGCACUCCAGGAAGCCAGUGUGGUUGGAGCAAAGUAGACGACAGACAGCAGGUGCAUGAUUGUCAGGGGGCUUGGGCUAGAUCAUGAGGGUCUUGUUGCCAGGUCCCCACUUGCUCACAAGUUCCUGUGUGAUUUCAAGCAGAGGGCAGGCAGGGUCUACUCCAUGCUCUAGCCUCCUUGUCAUACCAGCCCUGAGGUAGAAGUGGUGGGCUGGGGAUUUUGACUUGCCCCUUAGGACUCCAUGCCUCUGAACUUGGUCUACAAGGAUGUGCCACUGUGUUAUCUGGGUGAACAUCACAAAGCUCCCUGCUAGGCCCUGCAGGGGUGUGCUGAGGACCCAGUGGACUCCUACCUUCGGUCCCAGGAAUCUUGGGGGAGACUCAGGGUGUGUUGGAGAAUGAGAAUGCUACUUCCUCUCUGCAUCAGGCAUGAAAGUCCUCCCUAAAGGGCUUAGAGGGAGGAUCCCCAAGGAAUGCCUCUGCUUCCCUGCCAAAGAGUCCAAAACAUUCUUUGCUUCUUGCACCCUCAUCACUCCAUGUGAUGUUGGCCCAGGGCACAUCCUUGUAAUACCCUGCCUCUACUUGGCCUUCAGGAGUUGGGGGAGCAGAAAGGGGCAGUUCUGUCCCCAACCCCAUCUCCUGCUUUAGAGGGUAAUGAGUCAGCCAGCCAGGGGUUAAAAGCUGGAGUCAGGUCUGACUCAUAGUUUUGUCACCCACUAGCAGAGGUACAACCUUUCUAAGCUUCAGUUUCCUCAUCUUUAAAGUGGAGCUGGAGUGUUGACUGGAGGAAGAGCUGUGUGUGUGUGUGAUGCAUGAGGUGGGCACACGUGUGCUCACUGUAGUUUCACCUUCUGGGGCCCCACCUCUCUCAGGGAAGCUCACGUCCCUGGUCCUCCGGUGGUGCAUUCUCUGCCCUAGCCUGGCUAGAAGCCUCAACCUACACUCCCCUCCCCUUCUCUGAUUCCUUCCUACCUGUUGGCUGGAACAGGCUUGGUCCCCAUCAGGUCACUAGGAUAGGUUGGUCACUAGCCACCCUCUGUGGAGACCCUCUUAGAUUUCUAGGCAUCUUCUGAUCCCCUAGAUGUGUGUCUGAAUCUAAAUGUGUAAAGCUAGUCCUUGCCUGUGGGAUGUGUGGAUUCCUGUGGAGCCCUUGGUAGGCUGUCAUCAUGCCUCUUCUUGCACACCUCUGAAGUUCAAGGAAGCAAGAAGCCAAGCUGGGAACUGAUUUCUGUGCCUUCCCUGAAGUCCAAGGGCCUGGGUUGUGCCUCCUGCCUGAACUAUUCUGGCUGUGUGAUGGUGGGUGGACUCGCCACUGCCACCCUCCAGGCAUCAGGAACUGGAGGAGGCCUUACAAGGGUAGUUGAGAAAGCCAGGCAUCCUUACGAGAGAGGAGCCCACAGGCCUUGCACAUGUGUGAGAAUAUUGACCCUGCUGCCAGGAGCAUCUGAUGAAUGAAGUCAUGGUCUGCACUGUCAUUUCCUGGGGGGGGGAUGGGGAGAUUACCAGGGCCAGGCCAGGAGGCAGGAGGUUAGUGCCAAAGCCAAGCCCUGAGCAGAGACAUCCCCCUCUGAGCCUUAGUCUUUCCUUCUGUAGGUGGCGAGCAUGCCAGGCCUGGGUGGUCACCCCAGAACCCUGUGUCCCGCUUCUGUCUUUCCUGGCCCUGAAUACUGCCUGAGCUGUCUUGCUGUCUAUGGACACACUGGUACAUUCAUCUCUUGUCUUCCCUACUGCAAUGUUGCCUCACAGAGGACAGAAUGCCAUCUGGCUUGCUUACCUCCUCAGUGCUUGGAGCAGUGCCUUGCACAUAGCAGGUGCUUAAUAAAAAUUGUUGAAUGAAUGAA